AGAUGUGUCCCUUCUUGAAUUCCUGGCAUGAAAUGUGAUUGGAAAACAAAUACAAUUAUACAAAAGACAGAUGGGAGACAUGGCCAGAGGAAACCCAGGGACGUGCUACAAGGAUCGAAGGAUAUUUAAACAAGGUGCCAGACAAGAACUUUCAGGACCAACAAAGAUGGGCAGUGGCUGAAUGCUGCAAAAAGCAGGAAGAAAUACACCUGGCAAAAGUAGGU